AUAUUAUUACAGCCCGUAUACAUGCAGGAAUGCUCUUCGAAUUUCGGCUGAAGAGGACCCUAGUUGGUCCUAAAACGGCCUGAGGUAGAGGGGUUUUAGUCGGUAGGUCCGAGGACUUCUUCCUCGGGAAUCCGACACUACCCAGUCGUAUGGACGGCUGGGUGUUUUCUGAAGAUUUCCCCUCUUCCACGAAA
rfam:Agrilus planipennis Contig66964, whole genome shotgun sequence.